rnacentral:rRNA from 1 species
UACGUAGGGCGCGAGCUUUAAUCGGAAUUACUGGGCGUAAAGCGUGCGCAGGCGGUUAUGAAAGACAGAGGUGAAAUCCCCGGGCUCAACCUGGGAACUGCCUUUGUGACUGCAUGACUAGAGUACGGCAGAGGGGGAUGGAAUUCCGCGUGUAGCAGUGAAAUGCGUAGAUAUGCGGAGGAACACCGAUGGCGAAGGCAAUCCCCUGGGGCUGUACUGACGCUCAUGCACGAAAGCGUGGGGAGCAAACAGG